GUGCUCACUUUGGCAACACACACACUAAAAUGGCAAUGAUACAGAGAAGAUUAACAUACCCCCUGUGCAAGAAUGAUAUGCAAAUUCAGAUGGGUUCCAUAUUUUU
rnacentral:snRNA from 1 species